rnacentral:rRNA from 1 species
UGGGGAAUAUUGCACAAUGGGCGCAAGCCUGAUGCAGCCAUGCCGCGUGUGUGAAGAAGGCCCUCGGGUUGUAAAGCACUUUCAGCGAGGAGGAAGGUGGUGAACUUAAUACGUUCAUCAAUUGACGUUACUCGCAGAAGAAGCACCGGCUAACUCCGUGCCAGCAGCCGCGGUAAUACGGAGGGUGCAAGCGUUAAUCGGAAUUACUGGGCGUAAAGCGCACGCAGGCGGUUUGUUAAGUCAGAUGUGAAAUCCCCGGGCUCAACCUGGGAACUGCAUUUGAAACUGGCAAGCUAGAGUCUCGUAGAGGGGGGUAGAAUUCCAGGUGUAGCGGUGAAAUGCGUAGAGAUCUGGAGGAAUACCGGUGGCGAAGGCGGCCCCCUGGACGAAGACUGACGCUCAGGUGCGAAAAGCGUGGGGAGCGAACAGGAUUAGAUACCCUGGUAGUCCACGCUGUAAAACGAUGUCGAUUUGGAGGUUGUGCCCUUGAGGCGUGGCUUCCGGAGCUAACGCGUUAAAUCGA